GCCAGGUAGCUGACUGUCGCAUCACCGAGCGUUUACACUAGUCCGUAAUGUUCCACAAGUGAUUUCGGCCCACGACUGUGUACUUUCGUCUGAGAAGAAAUUCAGACGUGGCUUCUGGGAAACGUGAGAUAGAAGAAAGAGGAAGAGCCAACAAGAAUUAUUCAUAACACCGGAGGAAAAAAUUUGGAUUAUAGUGGAUCGAGAACUGUCAAGGCACCGAGCACCUUUCAGUGGGGCAGCGCCACGACAGAACAAUAGCUUCAUCAAAGUGAUCACAGCGACGGUAACCCUUCCUAGAUCAGGCGCCCCUGCACCGACGGUUCCGCUCCGAGAAAGAAGCUGCUACAACGGUAAAUCACCAUAAGGCACAGAUGGCUGGCCUGCUGACAGAGGAAGUGCGCAGCCUGUGGGACAUACAGCAGCAGUGCCUCGAGCAGGAGCGCCGGUCUCAGGGGACGAAUCAA